UCAGCUGAGGCCCGACUCCCCGUCGAGGGCCACUGCUCCACCAGCUGUAACCUGCCUGGCUUGGUCUGCUCGCAGGCAGUGACUGAUGAGCAGCUGCUGCUAGAGGCAGAGUCCCAGGUCGGGGCUCAGAUCUUGUCUGGCAAAAGCAUUGUAACUGGAUCCACUCAAAAAUUAUACAACGAAUCUUUCUGAUCACACACGGGACUGGAAGCACCGAGCUAACGAGCCUGAACACAGGGGAAGAUCAGCCUUCCGCUUGGCUCCUGAGAGGCCACUGAGAGGAACCCUUCACCUGGUGCAGCCACCUGGCCCUGCACCACCAGUCCCUCAGAAUCACCGCAUGUGUGUGAGUGUGUGAAAGACAGAGACAGAGGCGAGCAGGUGGCACUGUGGACACCCCAGUGGCACUUGGCAGUGUCCCAGACGGGAGUCCGGAGCCCCUGAGGACAGGACUGUCGGUGCCAAGUGACCUGCCGG